rnacentral:rRNA from 1 species
CCUACGGGUGGCAGCAGUCGAGAAUCAUUCACAAUGGGGGAAACCCUGAUGGUGCGACGCCGCGUGAAGGAAGAAGGCUUUCGGGUUGUAAACUUCUUUUCUCAGGGACGAAGCAAGUUACGGUACCUGAGGAAUAAGCCACGGCUAACUACGUGCCAUCAGCCGCGGGAAUACGUAGGUGGCAAGCGUUAUCCGGGUUUACUGGGUGUAAAGGGCGUGUUGGGGGGACUGUAAGUCAGAUGUGAAAACCAUGGGCUCCACCUAUGGCCUGCCUUUGAAACUGUAGUUCUUGAGUACGGGAGAGGCAGACGGAAUGCCUAGUGUAGCGGUGAAAUGCAUAGAUAUUAGGAGGAACACCAGUGGCGAAGGCGGCAUGCUGGACACCAACUGACGCUGAGGCGCGAAAGCGUGGGGAGCAAACAGGAUUAGAUACCCGUGUAGUC